rnacentral:rRNA from 1 species
UACGGAGGAUUCGAGCGUUAUCCGGAUUUAUUGGGUUUAAAGGGUGCGUAGGCUGUCGGAUAAGUUAGAGGUCAAAUGUCGGGGCUUAACCCCGUGCCUGCCUCUGAUACUGUUCGACUGGAGAGCGGAUGCAGCAGGCGGAAUGAGUAGUGUAGCGGUGAAAUGCUUAGAUAUCACGAAGAACCCCGAUUGCGAAGGCAGCCUGCCGCAGCGUUACUGACGCUGAAGCUCGAAAGCGCGGGUAUCGAACAGG